GGAGACAGAGAUGCAUGUUGUGGCUCACCAUGAUACCAAAUGAUAAGACCCCUGAUAGAGGAGGGAAGUGACCUCACCAGGAGAUAUUAGGCUGGAGAGAACCCUCACUGUGUCGCUGUGCGACACUGUCACGCCCAUGUGGUGGAGGAGAUCCUCACCUAUGUGUCCGAAUGAGAGAAGCUGUGAGGAGGCCCAGUGCUGUGUGAGCCAGGGCAACAAGGUGGGACUUCCCCAGAAAUGUCAACGUCUUGUCAAGUGCUCAAAUCUGUACAGCAGCCCCAGACAAUCACGUACAGCAGCUCCAGACAAUCACGUACAGCAGCUCCAAUUUACAAGAAUGGGUUUACAAGGCAGUGAUGAAAACAGUUUAUAUGAGCGCUAAUUCAAACAUACUGUUGUUACAAAAUCACUUCUCAUUGUGUACAUUUCAAGCUUUCACAAACAUAAAACAACUAUCUAGUUAAUGUUUCUCGGACUAACACACUGUUGAGUUUCCUGUUUACUAAAGAACAGUCAUUAAGACAAAACACAAAGAGUUGGAAUAUAAUCUGUAUACAUGUCAUUCUAUACUGAAAACAGGUACAUUCUGAAACAUUUUGAUGAUUGUUGAUGUGAUAACACAUUUUUUAUUCAUCUCUCAAUUUAGGAUAAUACCGUUUAUUUUUACUUUACUUAAAUUGUAUUAUUAAUGUAGUCUCAUACCAUGCUAAUCCACUACCAAGCAAUGUAAACAGAUGUGGAAUUAACCUCAUAACAGGUGUGUGUCUUUUUGGAUCAAGAAUUGAUCAAGAAUACUAAUAGGCUUGAUCAGAUCCUCUUUCAUAUGUAGGCAUCAUAUAAUGCACAGCCACAUGCAAAUCCAUAAACUCCACCAAUAAAACA